rnacentral:rRNA from 1 species
UACGUAGGGACCAAGCGUUGUUCGGAUUUACUGGGCGUAAAGGGCGCGUAGGCGGCAUGACAAGUCACUUGUGAAAUCUCCGGGCUUAACUCGGAACGGUCAAGUGAUACUGUCGCGCUAGAGUGCGGAAGGGGCAAUCAGAAUUCUUGGUGUAGCGGUGAAAUGCGUAGAUAUCAAGAGGAAUACCUGAGGUGAAGACGGGUUGCUAGGCCGACACUGACGCUGAAGCGCGAAAGCCAGGGGAGCAGACGGG